CUCUCCUUUCCUCUCUGAAAUCGAUAAAAAUAUAUAUUAAAAAAAAAACGUAUAAAAUGCCUGGGAGAGCGGCACCGGACGGAUAUCCGUGGAAUUCGUCUCAUCGCCACACGGACUGGCUCUCCCUGCUGAUGGCGCAGAAGGUGGGGGGCUUCCCGAAAACCCUGUCUCCUCUGGUCGCUCUCAUACCGUCACCCACAGCCUCGAAGGAUGCUGGCGGCAUUCACAGCGCCCAGCAGGGUUAAAGCCGUCACACACAGUUUCAGGCCGUAGCCCCCACAUCAGGAGACGACGGUGCCUGCUGAUUACAAAGCGAGAACGCCGCUUCUGUGAGCAGAAAUGACGCAGGCUUCGCUCCCAGGGUCCCUGGUUGGAGCCCCCGGGAAUGAUUUCUCCUGGACAGCGACACAGACACAGCUUUGAUGCCCAGGCAGGUCCUGGUGCCAUUGCAUAAAGCAGGUCUCCAUGAAGCAGGUCUCCAUGAAGCAGGUCUCCAUGAAGCAGGUCCCCAUGAAGCAUGAAGCAUGAAGCAGGUCCCCAUGAAGCAGGUCUCCAUGAGGCAGGUCUCCAUGAAGCAUGAAGCAGGUCUCUGUGAAGAAGGUCUCCAUGAAGCAGGUCCCCAUGAAGCAUGAAGCAGGUCUCCAUGAAACAGGUCUCAAUGAAGCAGGUCCCCAUGAAGCAGGUCUCCAUGAAGCAUGAAGCAUGUUUCUGUGAAGAAGGUCUCCAUGAAGCAGGUCCCCAUGAAGCAGGUCCCCAUGAAACAGGUCUCCAUGAAGCAUGAAGCAGGGCUCCGUAAAGCAGGUCUCCGUGAAGCUCUGCGUGCUUCCCCAACGUGCCAUUUCCGUGUUCCUGGAUCAGAUGCCUGUUCUGUUACUACGCGGGGCUCCCUCAGCCACUCAGGGGCCCCCACGAUGCCAGGUACGGUGCUGAGCAUUGGUGCCAGGAUCUCUCUCCAUGGCACCUGACAUGGCUGCCCAUUUUAUGGAUGAGUACAGCAAGGCUCAGAUACAUGCGCUCCCCCAUGGCCCUUGGUGUCUGGCAGCGCUCAGAGGGGUGCCUCCAGGUCAAGGGAACCUGCAAGAAUUCCCGGGACCCCAGUAGACACGGCCACGUUGGCUCUUGUGACGAGGACUGGCUGUUCCCGUGAGUUUGCAGCAGCGAUUCCUCUGCAUUCCGGGUUCCUCUGCUGUUUCCAGGCCUCGCUCCCCUGAACGUGAGCUCCCCACGCAGUGGCCCGGCGGGCUGAGACUUUACUCUGUUACUCAUGCUGGACCAGCACCGUAGCUGCCACAUGCUAGACAUUCAAUAAACAUUGUUGAAACACGGAACCUUAUCCAGAGCCAGGGCUGGAUGUGGCAGCAGCACACAAGCAGUGGUCGCCAUGGGGCCUUGGCGUAUGUCCUUUCUCUGCUCUGUGACCUUGGACACACCAUCUCACCCCUGUGGACUUCGUCCCCCGAGCCUGUCAAUCAAACCAGCCUGUCAAUCAAACCAGCUCUGCUUUGCAGGGCUGGGAGGAUGCUCAUGGGCUCUUACGGGACUUUUGAAAUGUGAGAGCUGCGAGAUAGACUUGAACAACGCAAGGAAAGGUAGCCGGUCCUCGAAUUGGCGGUAGAAACGAUUUCUAGGAAAUAUGCUGCAAUUUGUUUUCUCUCUUAGAAAUUUAAAAACACCUUCCAAACCAACUCUUGGACGCAGACGUCAAAACUGACAUCGUAAACUACUUAUAAGUUCAUGGCACCGCGUACCAGAACCUAGGGGCUGGGUCCAAAUGAGUAGAGAGCCAUCUGUAGCCACAAUGGGCUUAUGAAAACAUAAGAUGGAAAAUGCACUUUCUGAACAUUCAACUGAAGAAGCUGAAAACAAACGCCACCGCCAAUACCAACAUUCACAUGCGUGAGUGCACACAUGCAUGCACACACACACACACAC